rnacentral:rRNA from 1 species
GGAGGCGUGCCUAACACAUGCNAGUCGAACGANAANCUUGGGUGUAGCAAUACAUCUGGGUGAGUANAGUGGNGUACGGGUGAGUAACACGUAGCUAACCUACCCUCAAGCGGGGGAUAACCUGGGGAAACCCGGGCUAAUACCGCAUAACACCCCGAAGGCGCAAGUCAUUGGGGUCAAAGGUCCGCAAGGGCCACUGGAGGAGGGGGCUGCGGCCGAUUAGCUAGUUGGUGAGGUAACGGCCCACCAAGGCAAUGAUCGGUAGCCGGCCUGAGAGGGCGCACGGCCACACUGGCACUGAAACACGGGCCAGACUCCUACGGGAGGCAGCAGUGGGGAAUUUUGCACAAUGCCCGAAAGGGUGAUGCANCAACGCCGCGUGAGGGAUGAANGCCUUCGGGUCGUAAACCUCUUUCGACCGGGAAAAAUGGGCGGGUGAAUAAUCCGCUCUGAUGGUACCGGUGGAAGAA